CUGCUGUUAUUCUGAAAUAUAUGGAAUAGUUCUGUAGAUUUACUUCUUUACCUUAACUCUGUCUACCUUAAACCAGUCUUUCUCAGCCUGGAUUCCUCAAAUGAUGACAAAACCGCGUUGUUCGUGUGAAGACUUUCUAAAUUUUUCUAUAGAUGUUUCUCACUGCGGCCAUGCAAGUGCACUGGCAUGAGCUCACCUCCUCAGAGAAGGGGGUUUCGGGAGCGGACUGAAGACUGGGUGCCUGACUGCAGGGCUUCCAGCUGCGGCGAAGGCGUGAUUCAUGCCCGAUGGUCUGCUCAGAGGGAGAGGAGCAUUUAUUCAAUCCGGCCGUGUGCAUCUGGAUGCCUGUUGUGAGGAGCGAAGUGUUAGUAACCAGACCGGGAUGGAUUUAGUCGCCAGCGUUACACACGCAGAACAUCUGUUGUGCACCAAGAACGCGAUGGGCACUGUGGGUACCAAGUGAGAACACAGCAUCUGCUGCCCAGCCGGUCUCACGGCGUAGGAGAGAGAGUAAAACUGCUCAUAGCUAUCAGCAAAAGAGCACUAAUUUCAUGCUGCAAAAGUGACACAAGCUGAGCGCUGAAGGCGCGAGAGGUGGUGUCCGUGGUGAAGGAAGCUCAGGGAGGAGAAUGAGAGAAGGCUUCCUGGAGGAGGCGGUAUUUGGACUGGUCCUCAACAAACACACAGAGCUGUGCUGACAGAGAAAAAGCAGACAAGCUUUCCAGGUUUUCUGAGAAAGCAGCAAGUGUCACUAAAGCAGAGAGUAUGAGGAGAGAAGGUGGCUGGGUAGAUUCAACACAGCAUCUUCCGUGAAGAUUUUGGUGACCAGUUGAGACCUGGGACAAAGUGCUGUAACAUUUUGCCAUCAAAUGUCACUCUUGUACAAAGAGUGACACCGCUGCAAGAGAAUGCUGAAUAUUAAAAAGCAGAAUUUUCAACUUUUCCGUUCAGGUUUCAGUGGAGGUCAACAGUAGACGAGAAACUCUGACACACAUAAUA